AAUGACAACAACGAAAAGAUGAGGAGAUAC
rnacentral:piRNA from 1 species